CCCCAAUUUAACAUUAUACUUGAAAAUUGAAAUUGAAAUUAUAUCACAAUUUCACAAUUCGUAUUUCGUAAUUCAUCUCAAUUGGCCACGCUCACGCAUGCCAAGAAGGAAUCGGAUUUGGGGGAAGAAGUAGAACUCAAGAAGGGUUUGACUGAAGGAAAUCAAGAAUUGGAUUUGGGGGAAGGGGAAACUGAAUCUGAAAUUGACUGCAGCUGCGGGGUACUGUACUGUGCGGACGUCGGACCGACUGCUGGAGAGACAAGAGAGUGGAGUGGAAUGUGAAAUUAGUGGACCUCUGCCUCUGGUAAACAGGUAUGUUAUCUAGUUUUUUAACCAUUUGGGCUAGCAUAAUUAUAAAAAAAAAAAGGCCCAACACCAACAAUUCAACAGAAUUUGCCAUCACAGUGAGUCCACAGCCAGAGCAGCAGGUGAGCGGGGGCGAAAUCUGUAAAUCAUCGACUGCCAUCAUAGCCAAUGCGACGCCCGGUGGAGGUUCCGGCGAAUUCAGCUAGGGCGGAGGUUCCGGCGAAUUCAGCUAGGGCGGCCGCCCUAGCUGGCCUAUGGCUGAAUCCGCCUCUGUUUGUAAUAUAA
rnacentral:lncRNA from 1 species